rnacentral:lncRNA from 1 species
ACUGGUUAUGAAGGCUUUGCUCUAAAAAUAAGGUUGUUUCGGGACUUCCAUAUGUUCCACAGCACCACUGCAGUGAGUUCUUGUUCGGGUAAGCCUUCCUUUUCUUCGAAUGCCUCCAUUAGCCACUGAUCGAAUCUCUUGAUGUUGCUUGGGUUGUUGAUGAUGUUGAUGCGUGGAUCUACCCAUAUUGUUUUUGUCCACUUGCACAACAAAAAUAGAUGUUCUAUGGUUUCCAUAUUUGUGAAGCAAAACGGGCAUAAGGGGUCGGGUAGCAGUUUUCUUUUAUAGAGAUUCUCCCGUGUGGGUAUGGCGUUUUAACAGAGGCUCCAUAGAAACGUACGCAUUUUCGGAGGUAUUGCAAGACUCCAUAUUUGAGUCCAAAGGGUUCGUGGGGGCUUAAAAGAACAGGAUGCCCUGUUUAGGUCGAUUCUAAUGGUUUUAGGGUAGGCUCGAUUGUAUCCGCUCUUCACGGUGUAUUUCCCUAACUGAUUCCCUGUCCAUACGAGGCUAUCCUUCUUUAUAUUCGAACUCAAAGGUAUCGCAAGAAUCUCAUUGGCAAUUUUUUUUUCAAAAAGGUUAAGGAUUUGAUGUUCCUCCCAAACUCUCGAUUCUACAUCAAUCAGUUCUGACACCAGAAUAGGUUCCUAUUGAUUAGCUGGUCCUCCGAUCACACCAUACUUUAGCCAUCUGUCUUCCCAUAUUUUAAUGGAUUUGCCAUCCCCCACUAACCACUUAACGUCUGCUUCUAUAGCUUCUCUUCCUAUUAAAAUACUUUGUCAUCCCCAAGACGGUCGUUGCCCCUUACUUGCCUUCCAUAAAUCACCAUUUGGGAAGUAGAUUCUUUUUAGUAUUCUGCUCCACAAAGCUGAAGGAGAGUUGGAUAAUCGGCAGGCUUACUUUCCGAGCAUUGCUUGAUUAAAAUUAAUUAGAUCUUUGAAUCCCAAACCUCCCUCAUCCUUUCUAGUUUUUAAAACUUCCCAUUUUUUCCAAUGCAAACAUCUUUUUGAAUCACCUUUCUACCACCAAAAUGACGCAAUUCUUCUUUCUAUGGCUCUACAUAUGGAAAUAUGAAGUUUAAAAAUUGACAUUGCAUAAGUGGGGAUUGCCUGCACAACACUCUUAAUUAGAAUUUCUUUGCUUGCUUUAGUGAGUAGCUUUUCUUUCCAUCCCUCGAGCUUCGAGUUUACUCUUGCUAAGAUCCACGCAAACAUCUCUUUCUUUGAAUGACCCCAUUCUGUUAGAAUACUGAGAUAUUUCCCUGUUUUUUCUAUGAUGGGAACUCUGAGCUCAUGAGCUAGGUUUCUUUUCAAAGAUAGAGGGCUGUUACUACUAAAGAAUACCCUUGAUUUGUUUAAAUUUAUAGCUUGCCUUGAUGCAUAGCAGUACUGAUUAAGGAUAUUUGCUAGGUUUUGGCAUUCGACAAUAAUCCCAUCAAGAAAAAAUAUAGCAUCAUCGACAAAAAGUAAAUGAGACAGUGUAGGAUAGAACCUGUUUAGUGUUAUCCCAUUGAUGCUUCCCUCUUCAAUAGCUUUGUUCAUCAGCCAUGUUAAAACGUUUGCUAUUAAGAUGAAUAAAUAAGGAGAAAGGGGAUCUCCUUGUCUAAGUCCUCUCGAGGGGGUGAAAUAUUGAGUUAGUUCCCCGUUGAUCUUCACACUUAGGGACACCGUUGAGACAUAUUGCAUAAUUAGAGAUACCCACCUCUCACAAAAACCCAUUUUUAGCAUACAAUCCUUUAGAAAAUCCCAUUUGAUUUUGUCAUAGGCCUUCUGCAUGUCCAGUUUCAAGAUCGCCUGGAAUUUUUUUCUUUCUUUUGUAAUUCGCAGCUAAUGUAAUACUUCCUGAACAAUUAGUAUAUUAUCCUAAAUUUGCCUACCUUGGACAAAGGCACUUUCUUUAGGCUCUAUAAUCUCUGGAAGCCAAAUCUUUAGCCUAUUAGCUAGGACUUUUGAGAUGAUUUUGUAGCUGAAAUUGCACAAACUAAUAGGUCUGAGUUGACUAAUGUUUUCUGGAGUUUUUACUUUUGGUAUCAAAGAUAUAUGCGUUUUGUUGAGAUAAGGAUCAAGGGUACCUGUUUCAAAAAAGUCCUGCACUAAUUGGAACAAAUCUAGCUUUAUAUCCUCCCAUGAUUGUUGAUAAAAGAGGCCAUUGAAGCCAUCAGGUCCAGGGGCUUUUAGUGACCCUAUUUGAAAAAUUGCUGCUUUAACCUCUUCCAUAGUAAUGCUGGCCAUCAAAUUUGCAUUAAUUUCCUCUCUCACUGGGCUAGGGCACUGAUUUAAAAUUGGUUAAUAAUUUCUGGGACCCUCUGCUUUGUAUAGGUUCCUAUAGAAGGACCCGAUGUGAUCUUUGAGAGCUAAGGGGUCUCUGCACCAACUUUGAUCUUCCAUUUGCAGCAUAGUGAUCUUGUUUCUCUGCCUUCGUUGUACUGUAGUUGCAUGGAAAAACUUGGUGUUUUUAUCACCCCAUUGCAGCCAUUUAAUGCGUGAUCUCAUACCUCAGAAUUUUUCUUCUUGUUUCCACAAUUGUUCUAUCCGGUUGACAAUGUUGUGGACUUCCUACCUACUUGCAUGUUGGGACUGUUUAUUGGUUAACUCUGUUAAUGCCUUGUUAAGCUCCCUAAUCCAACUUGGUGCAUUGGCAAACUUCUCUUUACUCCACUUAGUAAGCACUUUGGAUGUUUCAUUGAUUUUCGUGGAGAAGCUUGUCUGGCUUAGGGGUGUUUUGUUCCAUAUUUGCUGGAUGAGCUCACCAUACUCUUCAUUUUCUGUCCAGAAUGCUUCAAGCUUAAAAUCUCUCUUUCCUUUUUUGCUUUCAGGAUGCAACACAAGGAGGAGAGGGCUAUGAUCCGAGCCAAUUGCUGGAAGGGCUUGUACUUCAGCAUCAUGAAAGGUAAUUCUCCAUUCCAUAGUACAGAGAACUCUGUCUAGCCUUUUUUUGACAAGAGCCUCCCAUUCCCUAUUAUUCGCCCACGUGUAUGCACACUAUUUGCUGUCCAUGUCCAUUAGGGAACACUCAUUUAACAGAUCUCUGAAAGUUGCUAUUCGGUAAUUAUUUGCUUCUCGUUUCCCCACCUUCUCUCAUACAUAUAAUAUUUCGUUAAAAUCUCCCAUGCAAAUCCAUAGUAGAAAAAUUAGUUGACUAAAAGUCCUUCAACUUUUGCCAUAACUGCAGCCAUUCUCCGAAAUUUGCUGGUGCAUGAAUAAAAGUUAUCCUCAUUUAAUAGCUGCUAUCUGGAUCAGUACACUCCAAAUCGAUGAACUCUUUAGAGCUGUCAUUCACCUUUAACACCACUUCCUCAUUCCACAAAAUAGCUAAGCCCCCCGCUAUUCCUUCCGGGUUUUCUAUGAACGGAUUUUGGAAUUUAAGUCUCUUGCUAACUCCCUCCAUCAUCGUUGCUUUGUUCUUUAUUUCCAUAAGAAAAACCAGGUUGGUACUUUCAAGAGCUACUAAGGCUCUUAGUUCUUGGAAUGUCAGGGGGAUUGCUCAGCCCCUGACAAUUCCAGCUUAUAAUUUUUAUAUCGUCGUCGGUGGCUUAUUAGGGCUAGCCACCGAAGCCCACUCAUUACCAUCUUUGAUCAAUUUAAUUGGGAUCUCCAAAAGGUCCGUGUCAUUGAUUAAGAGAGGUACUUGCUCUGCUAUGCAUUUCUAUUUUUUUUGCCCUAUGCCCCUUCAUAUUCUUCUUACUACAUUUUCCAACUUUCGACAAGAUCAGCUUAGGAGCUUUAGAGCAUAUUAUAUGUUUGCCAUGAUCUGGAUUUUCGUAAAACAAGCAGUUGGUUCUUCUAUUGCCUCCUGCUUAUGAAAACUAUCUGCCCUUUUCUUGGUGCAGGUUGUAACUCUCCUUGUAUCCACUUCUUCUCUGGCGACCAUAUCCAUUU